AACGAACGCUGGCGGCAUGCCUAACACAUGCAAGUCGAACGAGACCUUCGGGUCUAGUGGCGCACGGGUGCGUCACGCGUGGGAACCUGCCCUUAGGUUCGGAAUACCUCCCCGACGGGGGUGCUAAUACCGGAUAAUGUCUUCGGACCAAAGAUUUAUCGCCUUUGGAUGGGCCCGCGUUGGAUUAGCUAGUUGGUAGGGUAAAAGCCUACCAAGGCGACGAUCCAUAGCUGGUCUGAGAGGAUGAUCAGCCACACUGGGACUGAGACACGGCCCAGACUCUUACGGGAGGCAGCAGUGGGGAAUAUUGGAAAACGGGCGAAAGCCUGAUCCAGCAAUGCCGCGUGAGUGAUGAAGGCCUUAGGGUUGUAAAGCUCUUUUACCCGGGAUGAUAAUGACAGUACCGGGAGAAUAAGCACCGGCUAACUCCGUG
rnacentral:rRNA from 1 species